GCACCAGAUUCAUUUACAAUUAGGACACAGUUAGGACAAAAAAAGUAAAAACGAUACAGUUAUUCCCAGUCAGAGAACCAAAGAGAGGAAAUUGGCAGACAUCUUUUGUUUUACAUGCCUUCAUAAACUAUAAUUUAUUCUCUCCCCAUUUAGCCUUUUAUCAUUAGGAGUUUAAUUUUUAUAAAAUAUAACUAUUCAUCUAUGUCCUUCUAGACAGUAUAACUAGACCCUCCAUCUAGUUUAAUAAGCUAUACAGAAUCUGAGAAUAUAAAGUUAAGAAGAUUUUAAUCCUGAAACUCUAGAGCUUUAUAUGUGUGGGAUCUCAAACUAGGAGAUUUGACUCCCUCCACCAAGGUCAAAGUGAAUUAGGGACUGCAUGAAAAACCCAGCAUUUUUGUCUCACAGGACUCGGACGAUCCAUAAGAUCAGGUCACUCUUCCCUAUCUCAGUGAAGAUUUAAAUGUUUAGAGACAUAUGACCCAGUUCUCUGUCUUCAAGCUUAGAAAAAAUGUACCGUUUGACAUUUAGCAAAGACAAAAAAAAAAAAAGGAAAAAAACCAUAUGAAAUCAACAUCUAUUAUGUUUCAACAAAAUAUCAAAACAUAUAUAAUUGCUUUUUCCAAAAAACUGACCCAUCCUAAGGAAAGAUUUAGGUGCAGAGAUUUAAGAAUUGUGCUUCUUAUGAAAAAAGGGUGUGCUUGCUCUGUCUAGAGCACCAAACUCUCUCAUCACACCACUUGGUUUAUGGUCUUAAUCACCAGACAGAUGAAAGCGACCUGCAAGUUUGGGAACCCACAGCCCAAGUGCUAGGAAGAAUCUGUUCUGUGUGAACAGCCACAGCGCAAUUGUGGAGAUACAUGGCACAAGUACACAAAAUAAACAGUAACGUAUUUUCUUUUCUUUUUGGUAGAAAUUCCUAAUGGAAAAUUCCUGAUAUAGACUUUAUUAGGAGGAAACGCGAGUCCAUAACUGUAAAUGGUGCAAAGCCCACUUUUUCCACCUUAUUAGCAAGUGCAUAAGCAUAAGAAUCUAUGUUUUCCAAAAAUCAUAUUAAUAAUUUCCCCUGUCUUUCCUCCCAAAACUUAAAAAAAAAGACUGUCAGACUAUCAAAGCACUGUCAGUGCCAGUAAGACACAUCAUUAAGGUGAGUAAUUUUCCUGUUUACUUCAAACACUUUUUUUCCCAAACUCCAACCUGGGCAGGUCUGAUCAGGUUAGGCUUUGGAACGAGUAAAAGCAUCCCCAAUUUCUACAUAAGCGCUGCAGGCCAUGGGCAAAGACAAGUCUCAACUGAGCUCUCCACGGUAGUCAAGCUUCCCGGCGCCUCUGGUCUUGUCUCCCUCAUACCUAACAAGUAUCGUCAUGUCUCUCAACCUUCAAAAUCGGUUUAUCUGCAACACAAAUGCACAUACGCUCACAUACAUCCUACUUCUUUUACUUUUACUUAUAAUUAAUAUCUACAUACAUUCUGAACACAUUUGCUUUAUAACAAUUCUUUCCUAUGCACUUUUCAAAAGAAAAUAUUUUCCAUUCUGAAUUCAGGCAUUCUUCAUGUAAAGACAAAUGGCAGAAUGCAAAAUAAUAAUCGUUUUUAACUGCAAAAUGCUGCUCUAAUUUUUAAAUUCAGUGGAGUAGAGAUCUGGCUUUUCUAUUUUUUCCUGGAAAUAGAUACCGCUGUCUUAAUUAAAUGUUUUCAAGAUCUACCUUUAUGCAAAUAUAUCUACUAUGUAAUUUGUGUUUUCUUUAAAAAAAAAAAAAAGAGAGAGAGAAAAUUGCUACCCUUGACAUAAGAUUCCUCUUUCAGUGUGAUCUGCUUCUAAGAAGACAGGAAGCUGGAAUUAAGAGUUUAGUAUUGGAUCUAUUUUGUCAACGUGGACAGAUUGCACUGACUCAUAAAACUGGAGACAUUAGCUCAUGGCAAUGAUUCAGUCGUGAGAAUUCUGACAAGGGCCUCUCCCUCCCUGGUGCUUUAAGAGGAAAAUCGUCCUGAGGACUGGUGGACGAGGAGCCGUUCUGAAUCUGCUGGUCCAUGCUGUUCAGGAGCCCCAGGUUCGUGUACUGUGGCUGCAAGGACACCCAGAAACCCCAAUAUUAGCCGCUGAAGCCACGGAUCAUUGCUCCAAAAAAAGGCAUCCAUGGGUGAAUGCAUUCUACAGAGAUGGACCUCACGUCGGAAGCACUUCACAUUCAAAGUAAAACCGUUGAUUUUUGGUAAACAGAGAAAACAAGAGAAGUCUGAGCAUGUGUGUGUUUGUAACGGCUUUUCCAGAUCACUCAGCUCUAUGUGCCACCUCUGGAGACUGACUUCCUACAGAGCAUUUGAAAGUAGAGUAUAUGCUUAUUCACAAACUAGGCAAAACGUUCCCAGUGCUCAGUAGCUGCUUAGGAAGUCUUUAAAUAAAUACUGCCUGCUAUUCCAUUUUGAGGUUGUUGGUGGGGGUUGGGGCGUGUUACACAAAAUGAGAAAGACCACUUGAUAGGUAUGUUCCAGAGGGGAUUUAAGUGUUAAAUUGUUGCAUAGGGGGCAAAAUCAAAUGACCUUCGAAUUUUCUCUUAAUCUUGCAAUUCUGCAUUCUGUCCCAGAGUACCAAGAGUGUACCACCCAGCCCCCUAAGGACUGGUUUCACAAAGACUGGAGGAUC
rnacentral:lncRNA from 1 species